CCGGCGUACCCAACCCACCCAAUCCCCUCCGCCUCCACUGAAUCCCGUUCGUCCGCCAAGCCUAGAGGCCGGCGACGAGAACCUCCGCCCGGUGCUGGUACUCGCCAUCCGGAGCGCAUGGAGCUGGGCGUCCUCGUUAGUCCGUCACGCCGCAGGUCACCUCCAACCGCCGCCAUGUCGCCUCUCGUUGACCUGGGCCCCUGGCGCCCCGGCGCCCCUCCGCCUCCCUCCCUCCUCGCCUAGAUGCACCACUCGUGGGCGACGGGCCAUGCAGCAGCAGAGGUCGGCGCUUGAGGUCGAUGACCUCCUCCACGGCGUCCGCAUCCCAUCACUGUGGAGCUCACCGCGGGAAGGCAAGGAGGAGGAUAUGGUGGUAGCCUUCCCGUCGGGAUUAAUUGAGGAUAUCCAAUUUAUUGAUUCCAAACAAAUUACUCAUCAGCUUUCAAUGGAUUGAGCUCCCUCUCAAAUUGAUUGCCGGUAUGGGAAAGGACGAAGGAUUUCGGGCCCUUGGGGAUUGGCGGCAACGAGCGCCCAACUGUGUUGUAAAAGGGAAAGUCGAUGAGGCAAUUGUUGGUGGCGGUGGACAUCACGUUCACAGCAAGCAGGAAGUAACCAGCCCAACUUCAACCCUCCACCUCUAGGGCCCAUCUGGUUGUUUUGUACCGGGCCACCAACAUGUCAGGGUUGGCCUGCUUCCCGGCCGCUGACGACAUCCUGGACACCCUCCCCGAGCUGUGGCCGCCGUCAACGCCCCCGACCUGCUGCUGAUGGAGACCACUCUGUCCUGCUGCCGUCGGCGAACCCCUCAACAUGCAGCUCCUUGAUAUCAAUUCAUAUACUCUGCUCCAUCGCGGCGGCGCAAAUGGAUUGUUGGUGUUCGUUACUGAAACCUCGAAGCGCGGCUUUGACUAUUCCUAGACAUUGGUUUGGCUAAACUGGAUCAGCGAGCAGCCCCCGGAGAAGAUUUGUGUCGCUUUCACGGUGAUUGACCUCACAAUUGUGGGGUCUUCCUUGCACAUGAUGUGCCGAACCUAUAAGCUUAUCCCGGAAGUGUGCCCUUGCUCCUGAGUCUAUGAGUAGAGAAGAAAUCAAAGAAGAGUUCCCUACAUUUAGUGCCAUGGUGGUAGCACAAGGAAGACAUUGAAGUUUCCAACUUAUUGCGUUCACAGAGUUCAUUUGCAAAAAGUGAUAUUGUACUAUCUAUAUGUACUUUUCCCGCUCUUUUUCUCACUAUGAUUUUAUUUUCUUCUUUCCGUACCACUACAAUCUUCAUGUAGCUAUUAUUCACUUGAAAUAUUUGCUUUAUGAAAGGACAUGGACAUGGUGCAAUGAGACAUGGAAAA